GCCUAGGUAGUAUAUAUAGUGCGGCCGUUUUUCGUGCGGCAAGCGGUUUUAGUUAACCCCUAGGUU
rnacentral:tRNA from 1 species